rnacentral:rRNA from 1 species
CUGGCGGCAUGCCUUACACAUGCAAGUCGAACGGUAACAGGUCUUCGGAUGCUGACGAGUGGCGAACGGGUGAGUAAUACAUCGGAACGUGCCCAGUAAUGGGGGAUAGCUCGGCGAAAGCCGGAUUAAUACCGCAUACGCCCUGAGGGGGAAAGUGGGGGAUCGCAAGACCUCACGUUAUUGGAGCGGCCGAUGGCUGAUUAGCUAGUUGGUAGGGUAAAGGCCUACCAAGGCGACGAUCAGUAGCUGGUCUGAGAGGACGAUCAGCCACACUGGGACUGAGACACGGCCCAGACUCCUACGGGAGGCAGCAGUGGGGAAUUUUGGACAAUGGGGGAAACCCUGAUCCAGCAAUGCCGCGUGUGCGAAGAAGGCCUUCGGGUUGUAAAGCACUUUUGUCAGGGAAGAAAUCCUUUGGGCUAAUACCCUAGGGGGAUGACGGUACCUGAAGAAUAAGCACCGGCUAACUACGUGCCAGCAGCCGCGGUAAUACGCAGGGUGCAAGCGUUAAUCGGAAUUACUGGGCGCAAAGCGCGCGCACGCGGUUGUGUAAGACAGGUGUGAAAUCCCCGGGCUUAGCCUGGGUAUUCGCUUUGUGACUGCACGACUAGAGUGUGUCAGAGGGGGGUGGAUUUCCACGUGUAGCAGUGAAAUGCGUAGAUAUGUGGAGGAACACCAAUGGCGAAGGCAGCCCCCUGGGAUAACACUGACGCUCAUGCACGAAAGCGUGGGGAGCAAACAGGAUUAGAUACCCUGGUAGUCCACGCCCUAAACGAUGUCAACUAGUUGUUGGGGAUUUACUUCCUUGGUAACGUAGCUAACGCGUGAAGUUGACCGCCUGGGGAGUACGGCCGCAAGGUUAAAACUCAAAGGAAUUGACGGGGACCCGCACAAGCGGUGGAUGAUGUGGAUUAAUUCGAUGCAACGCGAAAAACCUUACCUACCUUUGACAUGGCAGGAACUUUCCAGAGAUGGAUUGGUGCUCGAAAGAGAACCUGCACACAGGUGCUGCAUGGCUGUCGUCAGCUCGUGUCGUGAGAUGUUGGGUUAAGUCCCGCAACGAGCGCAACCCUUGUCAUUAGUUGCUACGAAAGGGCACUCUAAUGAGACUGCCGGUGACAAACCGGAGGAAGGUGGGGAUGACGUCAAGUCCUCAUGGCCCUUAUGGGUAGGGCUUCACACGUCAUACAAUGGUCGGUACAGAGGGUUGCCAAGCCGCGAGGUGGAGCCAAUCCCAGAAAACCGAUCGUAGUCCGGAUCGCAGUCUGCAACUCGACUGCGUGAAGUCGGAAUCGCUAGUAAUCGCGGAUCAGAAUGCCGCGGUGAAUACGUUCCCGGGUCUUGUACACACCGCCCGUCACACCAUGGGAGUGGGUUCUACCAGAAGUGGCUAGUCUAACCGCAAGGAGGACGGUCACCACGGUAGGAUUCAUGACUGG